rnacentral:rRNA from 1 species
UACAGGGGGUGCAAACGUUGUCCGGAAUCAUUGGGCGUAAAGCGCACGUAGGCGGUCUGUUAUGUCGGAUGUGAAAGCCCUUGGCUUAACUGAGGAAGUGCAUCCGAAACUGGCAGGCUAGAGUACUAAAGAGGGUCGCGGAAUUCCCGGUGUAGAGGUGAAAUUCGUAGAUAUCGGGAGGAACACCGGUGGCGAAGGCGGCGACCUGGGUAGAUACUGACGCUGAGGUGCGAAAGCGUGGGGAGCAAACAGG